GAUGAACGCUGGCGGCGUGCCUAAUACAUGCAGGUCGAGCGAACAGACGAGGAGCUUGCUCCUCUGACGUUAGCGGCGGACGGGUGAGUAACACGUGGAUAACCUACCUAUAAGACUGGGAUAACUUCGGGAAACCGGAGCUAAUACCGGAUAAUAUAUUGAACCGCAUGGUUCAAUAGUGAAAGACGGUUUUGCUGUCACUUAUAGAUGGAUCCGCGCCGCAUUAGCUAGUUGGUAAGGUAACGGCUUACCAAGGCAACGAUGCGUAGCCGACCUGAGAGGGUGAUCGGCCACACUGGAACUGAGACACGGUCCAGACUCCUACGGGAGGCAGCAGUAGGGAAUCCUCCGCAAUGGGCGAAAGCCUGACGGAGCAACGCCGCGUGAGUGAUGAAGGUCUUCGGAUCGUAAAACUCUGUUAUUAGGGAAGAACAAAUGUGUAAGUAACUAUGCACGUCUUGACGGUACCUAAUCAGAAAGCCACGGCUAACUACGUG
rnacentral:rRNA from 1 species